UACGGAGGGUGCAAGCGUUAAUCGGAAUUACUGGGCGUAAAGCGUGCGCAGGCGGUUUGUUAAGUCCGUUGUGAAAGCCCCGAGCUCAACCUUGGGAAUUGCAGUGGAUGACUGGCAGGCGUGGAGUACGGUAGAGGAAGGUGGAAUUCCCGGUGUAGCAGUGAAAUGCGUAGAUAUCGGGAGGAACGACCAGUGGCGAAGGCGGAGCC
rnacentral:rRNA from 1 species